AAAUAGAUUCCUUGUUUUGUGUUUUGCCUUUUGAAAUCAUUCUUGUUCUGGUUUUGCCCUUUGCUUACGAUUUGGAUUGUAGCAGCACAGCCACUAGUAAGACCAGCGCUGCGCGGCUCCUCCUGCAGCAGCAUCAACAUCAGCUGCAGCAGCUGCUGUCCUCACAGCCUUCAGCGGAGCAGCAGCAGGUGUUGCUCUACCAACUGAUGCAGGCGCAGCAGCAGGACCUCCAGGGGCCCUCCGCUCAGAGCCAGGGCACCAUCACAGCCAACCCCUUCCUGGCCCUCCAGCACUCUGAUGUCCCGGGACAGAAGCCGCGCCUCUCAGAGAAGGCGGUGGGUGUCGCAGGACAGGAGAAGACAUGACGCUCAAUGUGUCUUUGACUUUUUAAAAUAAAUAUGCAGAGGUGCUUGGAAAGCUGCCUGUUGCUUAAAUCCAAGUCCUAAGUCUGGUCUAAGCUUUCACAUCAAUAUAGUUUAUUUCAGUUUAGAAAGAAUUUAGAGAAAUAUAUACUAUUUAUUUUCUUUUAAUUUAGUUUUAGUGCUGCUUCAGUUUCGUAUUUUGUCAUUGUGUUGGUAAUAUCUGUCUCUGUUUUGUUAAACAGGUAAAUUUACUAUGGACAUUUUUCCAGUCAUAAUCUUGUCCAUUACCUCCCAUUUAUUAUGUGUCUGUUUUAAAUUUCUGGUGUAUUGAUAUAUUUCUUCAUAUUUUCUGUUCUCCUAAAAUCA
ensembl:lncRNA